GGGUGCGAUCAUACCAGCACUAAUGCACCGGAUCCCAUCAGAACUCCGAAGUUAAGCGUGCUUGGUUGGGCGAGAGUAGUACUAGGAUGGGUGACCUCCUGGGAAGUCCUCGUGUUGCACCCC